UUUCAAUGGAAUUGAAAAUGAUUAUCCUGAGGAACAGUGAGCUGUAUAGACAAAGUUGCUCUAAGACUGAGACAGAGGACAAGAUAGCAACCUAGUGCAAUAUUCCACUCCAUCCCUGGAAACUGGCUGCAUAGAAAUUGGCUUAAUUGGCAUCUGCAUCUUAUUUCAACCUUGAGACAGUAUCCUCUAAUGAACUUCAGGGUAGGAGUCUAGUUGAAAAGUAGAGUAGACUAUAUUACACAUAUAAUGCUGUCCUCCAGACUGUUGGAGGUUGUAGAAAUAAAUAAAUAGAAUCUUUACCACAGUUU
rnacentral:lncRNA from 11 species